rnacentral:lncRNA from 1 species
CUCACUCGGUCGACCCCGCGCGCGCACACAGCCCGCGUCCUCUUCGCCCCCGGCUCGGUCCUGCCCCGCGUCCCUGCAGUUCACAAAGGGUAAGAGGGCGCCAUUGGGGCUCUGUGGGGCGCCCCCGCUGAGGAUGUUGUCGGCCGCGCUCUCCAUCUCCUCUAUGGUCAUGUCGCAGGCGUCGGCCAGCUCCUGGGUGGUGACCUCGAUGAACUUGGGAUCUUGAGCAAACUGCCCCAGUCCUUCUGAAAUCAAGACCUGAAGGAGCGGGGUGGGAGCCAUGAAGAACCAAAGGAACAUUACUCCUGGAGCCCAGCUCUUCCCUUGAGGGCUAGAGCGAGGGGGUAUCUGAGAGAAGCUUGUUUGGCUUGGUACUGGACUUGGGAUGAGAGCUCUUCCUUCUACGUUCCAAGAGAGAAGCUUCUUUGGCUUGGUACUGGACUUGGGAUGACAGCUCUGCUUCUCUGAGGAGAAAUGCACAUCUCAGGAGGAGUCGGGAGGUGCUGAAU